GCAGGUGUGGUUCAAUGGUAGAACGUCAGCCUUCCAAGCUGAACACGUGAGUUCGAUUCUCAUCACCUGCU
rnacentral:tRNA from 1 species